AUUUUCUCUUCCUUCUCUCUGGUUAGGUUCUGUCAUUCACUUAUAUUUCCUUUAGAUCUGUAUUAUAUUCAAACAAUUUGUUUUCCUUUUCAUAAUUUUUUGUGUGUUUUAGAUUAUCCUCUUUUGUGGUAAAUUGUUGCAGUUGAUUUUCAUGAUAUUUGUAUGCAUUUGAUGCUAUUAUUUGUAAAUUUGUUUACUUUUUUGAUUUGGUUAAAUCGUUUUUCCCUUGAAUUUGUUUAAUAGCUUUUUUAUAUGUGUGAUUUGUUUGAAAAUUACCUAGGUUUUUCAAUGACUAUAUUAGUUCAUAUCUGUUUGCUACUUGCAAUGGACAGAUCUUGGUUUUAAGUUUAAACGAUAUUUUAGAUGAUAUGGCUUUUGAGAUUUUAGAUGAUUUGGCUUUUGAGAUUUUAGAUGAUUUUGUUCUGUGAUUAUAUAGCCUUUUUUUUGGAUAUUUUUUGUUGUUAGAUUUUUUACUAAUCAAAACUAAGAGAGCAUGUUAUGAUAUUGUUUGCAAAUCUGAAUUAAUCCUGCUGCACGGAUGUUCCCAAGUAUACCAAAUAAAUAAUCUGUUUUGAUCAAUUUGAAUGUCCAAUAUCAUUGGACGGUAACAUAUUUGAUGUUGAAGCAUAUUGUUUUAUAUUUUGUAAUUUAUUUUGAUAGAGGGAUUACAUCAAUGCUUAGCAUUUUAUUUACUUGUGAUAUUUGUCUAUGUGGCUAAAUUGAAUGUUUUGAUAUUUCAGCUCUAAUAGACUCCUUUGUGGACAUUUAAGCUACAGACUAGACAAGAUGGUAAGUUUAUGAACUGUGCUUAAUGGAAUUUACUUGUUUGUUUACUUUGAGUGAAUAGUUAUAAUCUGAUAUGUGAUUUGUAUAUUUCUUUGCAGGUGAAGUUUACAGCUGAUGAGUUGCGCCGCAUUAUGGACUACAAACAUAACAUCAGGAAUAUGUCUGUCAUUGCUCAUGUUGAUCACGGUAAUGAUUAAAAAAUUGUUUUUUAUUUUUUAUUUUUUUGUUGUUAAUUUCUCUAGAAUUUUUAAUCUGGGUUUUUACUUGACAAGAUAAUAUUAGCUUCGUAACUUAAAAAUGUGUUUUUUUAGUACUUUUUAAAGUACAUCUAUUUCUAGUAUAGACUUCAAAUCUUAUUACUCCAUUAGUUGAUUUUUUGUAUACCAUUGUUUAGUUGUUUAUAGUGUGGUAUAAUAUUUAUUGCACUAUUGUGCACUAGUGUGAAUAAUAAUAAAAUGAUUUAUACUCUGAUUUCAUUUCAUUUGCAGGAAAAUCAACUUUGACAGAUUCCCUUGUUGCUGCUGCUGGAAUUAUAGCACAAGAGGUUGCUGGAGAUGUCAGGAUGACAGAUACCCGUGCAGAUGAAGCUGAGCGUGGUAUCACUAUUAAGUCUACUGGUAUCUCUCUAUACUAUGAGAUGACUGAUGAUUCUCUCAAGAGUUUUAAGGGGGAGCGCAACGGGAAUGAGUAUCUCAUUAAUCUCAUUGAUUCACCCGGGCACGUUGACUUCUCAUCUGAGGUCACUGCUGCGCUUCGUAUUACUGAUGGAGCAUUAGUGGUGGUGGAUUGUGUUGAGGGAGUUUGUGUUCAAACUGAAACUGUGCUGCGACAGGCUCUUGGAGAAAGGAUCAGGCCUGUUCUUACUGUUAAUAAGAUGGACAGGUGCUUUCUUGAGCUCCAAGUUGAUGGAGAGGAGGCAUAUCAGACCUUUUCAAAGGUUAUUGAGAAUGCCAAUGUCAUUAUGGGCUACCUAUGAAGUCCACUUCUUGGUGAUGUUCAGGUCUAUCCUGAGAAAGGAACAGUUGCUUUCUCUGCUGGCUGCAUGGUUGGGCUUUUACUUUGACCAACUUUGCUAGAUGUAUGCUCCAAUUUGGUGUUGAUGAAUCCAAAUGAUGGAAAGACUUUGGGUGAAAAUUUCUUGAUCCUGCUACUAAGAAAUGGACCACCAAGAAUACAGGUUCACACUUGCAAGCGUGGGUGUACAGUUUGUUACGAGCCUAUCAAGCAGAUUAUUAACACAUGUAUGAAUGAUCAGAAGGAUAAGUUGUGGCCUAUGUUGACCAAGCUGGGGUCACCAUGAAGUCUGAGGAAAAGGACCUUAUGGGUAAGCCAUUGAUGAAGCGUGUCAUGCAGACCUGCUCCCAGCAAGCACUGCACUACUUGAAAUGAUGAUCUUUCAUCUUCCCUCUCCACAUACGGCCCAGAGGUAUCGUGUGAGAAUUUGUAUGAAGGUCCCCUAUGAUCAAAUAUGCUACUGCUAUCAGAAAUUGUGAUCCUGAUGGUCCUCUCAUGCUUUAUGUGUCAAAGAUGAUUCCAGCAUCUGAUAAAGGAAGGUUUUUUGCCUUUGGCCGUGUCUUUGCUGGUAAGUUUCAACAGGUUUGAAGGUCAGAUUAUGGGACCAAAUUUUGUACCUGGGGAGAAGAAAGAUUUGUAUGUGAAGAGUGUUCAGAGAACUGUCAUUUGGAUGGGAAAGAGGCAGGAGACUGUUGAAGAUGUUCCUUGUGGUAACACAGUUGCUUGGUUGGUUUGGAUCAAUUUAUCCCAAGAAUGCUACUCUGACAAAUGAGAAGGAAGUCGAUGCAACACCUAUUCGUGCUAUGAAGUUUUCUGUCUCACCUGUUUGUGCGUGUUGCUGUUCAGUGUAAGGUUGCUUCAGAUCUUCCUAAGCUUUGUUGAAGUCUCAAGCGUCUUGCUAAGUCAGAUCCUAUGGUUGUUUGUACCAUUGAGGAGUCUGGAGAACACAUUGUUGCUGGUGCAGGAGAGCUUCAUCUAGAAAUCUGUUUGAAGGACUUGCAGGAUGAUUUCAUGGGGGGCUGAAAUUGUCAAUCCGACCCUGUUGUGUCAUUCAGAGAGACUGUUCUUGAGAGGUCAUGCCGCACAGUGAUGAGCAAGUCUCCCAACAAGCACAACCGUUUGUUAUGGAAGCAAGACCACUGGAAGAUGGGCUGCAGAGCCAUUGAUGAUGCAAAUGGACCAAGGAUGACCCCAAGAUUCGUUCUAAAAUCUUGUCCGAAGAGUAUGGUUGGGAUAAGAUCUUGCUAAGAAAAUCUGGUGUUUUGACCUGAGACACUGGACCCAACAUGGUGUUGAUAUGUGUAAGGGAGUUCAGUACUUGAAUGAAAUCAAGGAUUCUGUAGUUGCAGGGUUCCAAUGGCAUCCAAAGAAGUGCUUUGUCAGAAGAAAACAUGAGAGGUAUUCUGCUUUGAAGUGUGUGAUGUUGUGGUUGCACACUGAUGCUAUUCACAGGGUGGUGGUCAGGUCAUUCCUACUGCUAGGAGAGUCAUCUACGCGUCACAGCUGACAGCCAAACCAGGCUUCUUGAGCCUGUAUACAUGGUUGAAAUCCAAGCUCCUGAGCAACUCUUGGUGGUAUCUACAGUGUUCUUAACCAGAAACGUGGUCCACGUUUUGAAGAAAUGCAGAGGCCUGUACUCCACUUUACAACAUCAAAGCAUACCUUCCUGUUAUUGAGUCUUUUGGAUUCUACAGCCAAUUGAAGGGCUGCAACAUCUGGGCAGGCUUUCCCUCAGUGUGUGUUUGAUCACUGGGACAUGAUGUCCUCGGAUCCAUUGGAGGCUGGUUCACAAGCUUCAGUACUUGUUACUGAUAUUCGUAAGAGGAAGGGUUUGAAGGAGCAGAUGACACCACUCUCUGAUUUUGAAGACAAGAUUUAAAGAAACUAAUUUUAUUUUCAUCAUGAAUUUUAUUAUAUCGCUGUUUUCUUAGUUGAGUUUUGUUUUUGGCUUUGUCAGUAAAUUGUGCUGUACUUUGGAAUAUUUAUCUUUGCAUCGUUGUAAUUUUGGUGAUAGUUGUAGCUUUUCCAAUGGUGCUGGUCAAACUUAUUAUGAAUGUUUUGUUAUAAAACUCCUUUUCAAAUCUAAUUGGUUUUGAUGAAUAAUUAUAUCACUACUACUGCCUAAAAUCAUCCUUGAUGAAAAGGGGUUUUGCUAA
rnacentral:lncRNA from 1 species